UACUGGGAAUAAGAGACUGAGGGCGCAGUCAUAAGGGGAACAUCUUAUUAGCCUUGCAGAAGAGAGCACUGAAGAAGAGGAAGCAGAAUUUAAGAGCCCGAGGAUGGGGAGGAGCCCCAUGAAGGACUGUCAUCUGGAUAUGAACAACAUGACCAUUGCACUUAGCACAUGCACAAGCUGUGAUCAUUUGCACAAGACCCAUUCAAGAUCAAGUCAAGGACACUCCCUGAAUAGGAGGUUCAGACUGCUGCAGUGAAAAUGUGGGUUAUCUCAACUCGGCCUACCUGGGAACUCUGCUGAGUUGUGGUGUCUGUCCUGCAUCUGAUCAACUGCUGGCUCCUUGCCCUCUCACGGUGGUCCAACUCCUUCCCUCUGUGAGGCCCCGCCAGCCUCUCUUCAAAAGGAACGCGAAAACAUUGCAGAGAAAAUGCCACCGAACAGCCCUACUCCCCUCACCCGGCCUGGCCCGGCAGUGACUGAGGCUUGAGCGCCUUAGCCCGUUCCCCCCUGGCUCCUGAGCUCUGCGUGUGUAAACUCUGCAUCCAUGAGAGUGUGUGUAGGCAGCUGGUCAAUGUCUGCUGGCCGAGAAGGCCGUAGAUCCCCUUCUCACAACUUGCCCAGGAGUGGUGAACUCAGUUUCCCUCAACAGUUUGCUCCUCGUCAGCUCCUCUAGAGGUCUUCUACGGUUUUGAUCCUCAUCUUUCUUUGAGCAGGGCAUUUAGUAAAGACUCAAAAUUGCCGUUCUCUCUAUCUGCAUG